rnacentral:rRNA from 1 species
UAGGUCCUACGGGGGGCAGCAGUGAGGAAUAUUGGUCAAUGGCCGGAAGGCUGAACCAGCCAUGCUGCGUGAAGGUCAGUGCCCUAUGGGCGUUAAACUUCUUUUGUGCGGGAGCAAUAAUGGUCACGUGUGGCCAGACGAGAGUACCGUACGAAUAAGCAUCGGCUAACUCCGUGCCAGCAGCCGCGGUAAUACGGGGGAUGCAGGCGUUAUCCGGAUUUAUUGGGUUUAAAGGGUGCGUAGGCUGUGGGG